rnacentral:lncRNA from 1 species
UGUGUGAAAAUCAAGAAGAUAAAUUCAAGUUAUGAUUAGUUAUGUUCGUCGAAUGCGUUUUAAAACCAAAUGGAAGACACAUCGAUUUUAGAACCCUUGGAAUGGUUGAACAACUUGAUGAAUUUCUUAUGUAUCCGUGGGGACGUAAAUCAUACUUUGUUUUACUAAAUUCAUUGCAAGAAUCACACCUCGAAAGAAUACGAAGGAUGCAACACAAUGACCAAACGGAUUGUAAAUA